CCCGAAGAUACCCCAAGCCAAACACUUGCCAGAAACAGCAAACAAAGAUGCUGAAAUCAAUUGUAAGGUGAAAAAAGGCAUUUAGUGUGAGCAUCAGCCAUCAGACGUACACUCGAAAAACUGCACUAUUUGUGCAGAUUAGAAAAUGUAUACGUAAAUCCUGUAGGACUGAUUUAGUGACAUGAGCGAUGGAGGAAAUACAAUGGGAAUGUGUGAUAUUUUUUCAAAAGUUCUUGUGCCUGGUAACGCACAUCCUCAAUUGAAAUUGCAGUAUAAAAUAUUGCAUUUGCCUGCCCCACAACAGGCCUUGCCAACUUCGAACUUCGAGGCUUGACACACAAUUAACUUGUUUUUUUGGGUCAAGUUCAAAAGAAUCGUAGUUAUAUCGUUAUAAGCUAAGUUUGUUUGGUUAUAAUUAAUUCGCUCUAGCAUUGUUUAUUUUUAUUCGCCUUACGUAAAAAUUAGAUUAUAUAUUCUUCACACUUUUCGGCAAUAGCUAGUUGGAAUUCCCAUUUGUUUGAAUAUUUUUAAUAUUCUAAAACCUACUGGACAAACUACAAUGUAUAAAGCAAGGCUGUUAUUGUUUCUAAUACAACUCCUGUCACUACUGCCAUGGAGGGCAAAUGCUGAAUGCUGUCCUACGGGUAAAGCUUAUUAUAGGAUGAAACCGAAUCUGCGUAAGCAUUGUUCGGAUUUCCCUGGAGGCAGUUUGGAUUCAGAUGGGAGCCUACGUGACUGCGUGUCUGAUCUCUGUGGUGGUUUAAGAAAGCCAACGCCGUGUUGCGGAAUAGGAAUAUGCAAUAUUUUCUGCUGCAAUUGUGAUCAGGGAUGUUGGAGCAAACGGUGGAGAGUUCAACGAGAAUUUUAUUCAAAAUAUGGCGAAUUCAUAGAGAUCAAAUGAAAAGAAAUAUGUAAAAUGAGAAAUAUAAUUUGUACGCAUUUCUAUACCGUUUACCAAAGAUACUGAAUUCAAUUGUAAGGUAAAAAAAGGCAUUUAGUGUGAGCAUCGGCCAUCAGACGUACACUCGAAAAAAUUCACUUGAACUAUUCCAUAACAGAAAAUAAUAUUAAAAUUUAAAUAUAUAAUUCAGAAAAGUA